UUGAAAGAGGUUGCAAUUUUUAUUAGUACUAUUUUUGUUAUCAGAUUAUUGCAAUGAUAGGAAAGGAAAAAUUGCCGAAAUUAAAAAGAAAAAUCUGUAUCUUUUUAGUUGGGAUAAUAUAGAAUAUGUAUUAUACUGUCAUAGAAAAAUCUAUGGUGCGCUUUCA
rnacentral:ncRNA from 1 species